rnacentral:misc_RNA from 1 species
AUUUUCUUCUUUCUCUCUCUCUUUCACGAUGCUUUCCGUUACUUCGGCGAGGAUAUUCGACGAUUUGUGUUCAAUCAGAAGGAUUCGUCGUCAGCUCAAAUAUCGGUCUAUGAAGCCUAGAGUGGAGCAAGCAACGGCUUGAUUGGUAUGUGAAUUUUCAUGAUCUGCUCCAAGCUGUGUCUAUUGACUUCUCUCCAAACGAAAGGACAAAAGAUGUAGAUACCACUACUAAGAGUGAUUUCAAAAGUGAAGUGGUUCAACGAUAUCGACACCCUCUUGAGGAUCUCUAAGCUCCAUUGAUUUCUAUUCUUUACCAAUUAAAGUUUUUGCCGUUUAAAUUUGGCUAACAUUGUUUUCUUAUAACUUGUCUCUGUUUACAAGGAAGCAUAGGAGAAGAAGAAAGCAGAGUAUGCACAGAGGAUGAAGAAUAAGGCUGCAACGUUUCACAAGGAAGCAGAAGAGAGAAGACAUUGAUGACUCAAGACUUGGUGACUGAAGAAAACUUUGUAUAUGCUUUGAUCAAAUUUGUAAAGUUUAGUCAUAGAGGAAACCAAUUGUGAAGCAGUUUUAUGAUAAAGGAAACCUAUUGUAAACUUUGUGUAUGUCUUUAUUCCAAAUUCCGAUUGUGAAACAAGAUUAAAA